UCGAUCUCAUUUAGGUUCCCUGUAGGGGGGAGCGAUUCCCACAUGGUCUGAAGCCCGAUGUCCUUGUUCGUGAUACGGAUCGCAUGAUCGAGAGGUGGUACUCAUGGGAGUUCUUAUGCAGUAGAAUUUGGUCUCUUCCAAGGGAAAUUUGUGGCAUUUUUGGAUGGCAGCUACCUCCAGUUCUGAUACGUUUUGCUCCAGGCAGCAGAUGAGAUUGUGGGUGAGAUCAUCUGAACCAUAUCGCAUUCCUUAUCAAUGAUUUCCUUUGCACUUCCAAGGGAGAAAUCCAGAGAGGAUUUCCGGGGUUUUUGCGAGGAUCAAAGAGAGAUCGUUGCGUAGAACCCUUUUGGUGCUGUAAAAAGGGGACCUAAAAUAACAAAACUAGAAGGCAGAUGAUCUUUUAUUCAUCAUUUGCUAUGAUUGCACAAUAAUAAGGUUUGCGAUAACAGCCAAAGAUCAAAGAAAUAAAGGACCUGAAUUCUGAAUAUUUAUGCCCAAGGGAAGAAGUUAAAGCUUUUAGUUGAUCCAACUAUAGGUCUGCAAUAGAGAUGGUACAACAUGCGGAUUCUAAUGGAGCUAUCAGAUAGGGCAAUUUCCAAAAUCCAUGUCAGUUGUGCCCUGACUUCAACUUGUCAACUUGCACCAGGAUAACCCAUUGUCAAUUUGAAAAACAAUCAAAUUGUAAGAUUAGUUUCCAUUUUUGGGAAUUCAUCAUAUCUUGAAUUUUGCAAUUUGUUCUAUUUUAUGUUUAGGGUUCUCUUUUGCAGUCCAUGAGUACUAGGAACUCUAGGGUUAUCUAUGUGAGAAAUCUUAUCGUUUUCAUCUAUUCUCCAUGGUCCAUAUCAAGGUUUGGCAUACUGAAGCAUACCACUCGGUACGAGCGAUACAUACUGAUCUGACAGAAGAUUGGUACAGGCGGUACAUCAAUACACUCUAGUGUACCAUGUGUUGGUACACUCGAUAUAGCUCAGUACGUACCGUACCGAUAGCUAGUUGGUACAUUGGUAUGGACCGGUAAUGCAAACCACGGUCCAUACCAUAACUCAUCCCAUUCUUCACUUGUGCAUGUAGCUUAGGUGUAUUCCGUAUUUAUAAUCCAUAGACUUGGAUUAGUAAUCCUAAGUUCAUGAAAAAGUUUAGUUGUUCUUGACAGUCAUACAAGAGCUGCAAGUAAACGCCCAAGGAAAAUGGACACAAUAGACUUAACACCCAACAAAUAGUUUUGAAUAGCAUUGGAAUGCAGAUCUGUCUUGAGCUUAUUAUAUUAUUUAAGAACAACGAAUCCAUCUGUCCUAUAUUACCAAAUCACUAAAAGAAUUUCUCAGAAACUCCUUAUCAAUCUGGAGAACUGCUGCCAGAAGUAGUGAAGGAAGAAGCAACAGUUGUUGUAGUCCUACUUGCAGUCGAAGUGAAGCACUAAUAGACACAUUGUCGACCAGGGGACCACAUAUCACGUGAUCACUAGUUUCACCUCCCUGUACGUUCAUAAAAUCUAUAGAAGUAAGAUUGGUUUCUGCCCUGAAACCCAGUGAGAACUUCUUACUGUAUCCUGUGCCAUUGCUUGGUAAAGUGAAGUUUUGGCUUGUUGGACCUGCUUGGACUCCCAAAAUAAGUUCUCCAGUGCAUGAAUCAAUAGGAACUCCCAUGACAAACUCCAAACGGUAUGAAGAUCCUUCUUUUAGCAAAAGAAUGGUUCGGAUCGCUCCAAUAGUGGAGACGAUUUCCACCGCAGCAUUACCUUCUGGGACCAGGUAAUGCUUCGAGUCGACAUACUUUACUGCCCCAAAUACAGCCCAUUCAAAUAGAGGGGUAUUCGUAAGAUCUUCAGUUGGCUCUAGUAAAAUUCCUUCAGAUGAGUUCUUUAUGAAAAUUGGUCCGUCCUCAAAGCCCCCAUUUACAAACUCGUUGGCUGCAAUUUCCAUCACAAGAACCGAGUAAGGAAAAUUUGAAGUGAUACAGUUUCUGCCACAAAAAAUAGAUUACCAAAAUAAAUAGCCUUUUACAUCAUAGAAUUAGGGUAUCUUAAUAUUUUUCUUAGAAAUGGGUCAAACUUGGUUCAAGAUCAGGUAGCAAGGCUAUUCAUGAGUUUGAUCUGAGCUCAUGAGUUAAUUUAGCUUGCCAAUUUUGAUGUGUUGCACCAAUUCAAUACCUCCAGGAUAAAAACAGUGCUUAGAUAUAGCAGAUGCCUCUGCACUCAAUGGAGAUAGGAAGAAAUGGUAGAUAUGGGACAUUGAGAGCAAAUUUAUCGUCCCGAAUAACAGUGGAGAUAGCUAGAAAACUAGUGUAGUUUCUUUAUGAGCUUUUAGUGUCAUUUACGUUUGCUCAAUAUAUAUAUAAAUAUAUAUAUAUAUGUAUGCAUGUAUAUAUAUAUAUAUAUAUAUAUAUAUAUAUAUAUAUAUUUUUUUUUUUUUUUUUUUUUUUUUUUUUUUUGAAAUGUCUCCUUUUAUGUGUGUUAAAAUUGGUCUUUUUUUUGGAUGCCAAGCUAUGUGUCCUUUCAUAUCCAACCAGAAGAAUCAUGUAUUUAUAAGGAUGCUUUACUAUUAGACCAUUUUGAGUUUCACAAGUAUUUGUACUUUCCUUCCAGCAUUUAAAAUUGUCUUAAAGAGACUUCUAUUCUCUACAGAUAUAUCUACUUAAUUGCACCAUAAUAACUUGACAUGAUUAGCUCUCUUGGUUUCUGAAAGAAUGUUACAGGUUGGUAGAAAUCACAUACCAUAUCCACCCAUGGGAUUGAACCUUUUAAGGAUGGCUGUAUCCACCACAGGUCCACAAGUGACAUUGUGAUCAGCCUCUACAGAUUGGCUCCGAAGCUCCAGAACAACUGGGUCUCCCUCACCUGCCAUACGCCCUAGACUGCAAGCAUGACUCUCCCAGGAUUUUCUCCCAUAUUUUCCUUCAACUAAGAACACCGAGGAUUUAUAAAACCAGCUGUCCACAAAAGACACAUUGAGCACGGCAGCAGGAGCUUUGCAGCUUCCGUUGACUGAAGUUAUCGAAAACGUAAGGAUGUACUGCGAGUAAAUUGAGGCAGCGAUAUGUUGGGGCCUGCAGUCACAUAGUACACGGUGCCGUUGAAGGACCAGCCGGGGAUAGUAUUGUUCUUGGACAGAGGCAGGAGGGGAGUGCUGGAGCUUGGCUUGAUAUUUGAUGGAGGGAAUUCAAAGUUUCCAUUCUGCAGCAAAGCUGUUUGUGGAAUGAAAAUGGCAGCUUACCGGCCAAGCAUUUGGUUAGUAACCAUGAGAAGUUUAGGGAGGAUUAGAACUGCACCUGCAGAUGCUGCCGCCACCGCAGCUAAUAGGAUCAAGAAAAUUUCUUCAAGCAGUCUCAUUGUCGAGGAUGAAGCAGUGGAGGUUACGAUGGUUUUCACGAGAUGAAUCUGAUUGAGCUUUGCUGGUCUUCUUUCUUUCUUUGAUCAGAUUCAACCAAACAAUGCUCCUCCAGUAUUCCCCAAUGAAACAACGGCUGACUGGAAUGAAGAACUUGGUGUGUGCGCUUUGAUCUUUGGGGUCGAGUCCUUUUUGCUGAUGUCUAAAAGAGUACGUUGACAUCGUUGGAGAUACAGAAACUUGAUCCAUAUCCUUCGUCAUACUCAACGUCUGUGACAACGUUGAGAACCUCGAGGCAGCAAUAAUUGACCGUUGACUUUUUUGUUUUUGGGUGAGAUACGUAACGUAUCUCAUCUCAACAUCUCUCGUUCCUAUCUUAAAGAUCUUCUUACUGGAAUCUUUUGGCAAGUUGAACUAAUGUGGUCACCGGGUCGCUUAGUUCGAUCACAAAACAACGCAAGCGUAGCUGUAUCUCCAACUUGACUAUAUACAAACUGCUUAAUUUUUCUGA